rnacentral:lncRNA from 1 species
UAGACAGAAAAAAAGUAGAAGCCACUAUUUUAUAUAUUCGCUAAAAAAGAUCACAGCUUACAAUACAAAAAAAGAAAAAGAGAAGCUGGGGUUACUAGAAGUGAACACAUUAAUUAUUUAUAAGUACACCAUAUUUAUAUAAAAUAAAAGAUAUAGUUAACUCAUGAAGAAAUCACUAGGCUACUACUCACUCUUUAUACAUGAUAAUUACAUACACAUGCUUUUUUUUAUAUGCUAGA